AACGCUAGCUACAGGCUUAACACAUGCAAGUCGAGGGGCAGCAUGAUUGAAGCUUGCUUCAAUUGAUGGCGACCGGCGCACGGGUGAGUAACACGUAUCCAACCUUCCGUACACUCAGGGAUAGCCUUUCGAAAGAAAGAUUAAUACCUGAUGGUAUCUUAAGCACACAUGUAAUUAAGAUUAAAGAUUUAUCGGUGUACGAUGGGGAUGCGUUCCAUUAGGUAGUAGGCGGGGUAACGGCCCACCUAGCCUACGAUGGAUAGGGGUUCUGAGAGGAAGGUCCCCCACAUUGGAACUGAGACACGGUCCAAACUCCUACGGGAGGCAGCAGUGAGGAAUAUUGGUCAAUGGACGAGAGUCUGAACCAGCCAAGUAGCGUGAAGGAUGAAGGUCCUACGGAUUGUAAACUUCUUUUAUAAGGGAAUAAAACCUCCCACGUGUGGGAGCUUGUAUGUACCUUAUGAAUAAGCAUCGGCUAACUCCGUGCCAGCAGCCGCGGUAAUACGGAGGAUGCGAGCGUUAUCCGGAUUUAUUGGGUUUAAAGGGAGCGCAGACGGGUCGUUAAGUCAGCUGUGAAAGUUUGGGGCUCAACCUUAAAAUUGCAGUUGUUACUGGCGUCCUUGAGUGCGGUUGAGGUGUGCGGAAUUCGUGGUGUAGCGGUGAAAUGCUUAGAUAUCACGAAGAACUCCGAUUG
rnacentral:rRNA from 1 species